rnacentral:rRNA from 1 species
GAGUUUGAUCCUGGCUCAGAACGAACGCUGGCGGCAGGCCUAACACAUGCAAGUCGAGCGCGCCUUUCGGGGUGAGCGGCGGACGGGUUAGUAACGCGUGGGAAUAUGCCCAAAGGUACGGAAUAGCCUCUGGAAACGGAGAGUAAUACCGUAUGUGCCCUUCGGGGGAAAGAUUUAUCGCCUUUGGAUUAGCCCGCGUUAGAUUAGGUAGUUGGUGGGGUAAUGGCCUACCAAGCCUACGAUCUAUAGCUGGUUUUAGAGGAUGAUCAGCAACACUGGGACUGAGACACGGCCCAGACUCCUACGGGAGGCAGCAGUGGGGAAUCUUGGACAAUGGGGGCAACCCUGAUCCAGCCAUGCCGCGUGAGUGAUGAAGGCCUUAGGGUCGUAAAGCUCUUUCGCCUGUGAAGAUAAUGACGGUAGCAGGUAAAGAAACCCCGGCUAACUCCGUGCCAGCAGCCGCGGUAAUACGGAGGGGGUUAGCGUUGUUCGGAAUUACUGGGCGUAAAGCGCACGUAGGCGGACCAGAAAGUUGGGGGUGAAAUCCCGGGGCUCAACCCCGGAACUGCCUCCAAAACUAUUGGUCUAGAGUUCGAGAGAGGUGGGUGGAAUUCCAAGUGUAGAGGUGAAAUUCGUAGAUAUUUGGAGGAACACCAGUGGCGAAGGCGGCUCACUGGCUCGAUACUGACGCUGAGGUGCGAAAGUGUGGGGAGCAAACAGGAUUAGAUACCCCUGGUAGUC